UAGGGAAUCUUCCACAAUGGACGAAAGUCUGAUGGAGCAACGCCGCGUGAGUGAAGAAGGUUUUCGGAUCGUAAAGCUCUGUUGUUGGUGAAGAAGGAUAGAGGCAGUAACUGGUCUUUAUUUGACGGUAAUCAACCAGAAAGUCACGGCUAACUACGUGCCAGCAGCCGCGGUAAUACGUAGGUGGCAAGCGUUGUCCGGAUUUAUUGGGCGUAAAGCGAGCGCAGGCGGAAUGAUAAGUCUGAUGUGAAAGCCCACGGCUCAACCGUGGAACUGCAUCGGAAACUGUCAUUCUUGAGUGCAGAAGAGGAGAGUGGAACUCCAUGUGUAGCGGUGGAAUGCGUAGAUAUAUGGAAGAACACCAGUGGCGAAGGCGGCUCUCUGGUCUGCAACUGACGCUGAGGCUCGAAAGCAUGGGUAGCGAACAGGAUUAGAUACCCUGGUAGUCCAUGCCGUAAACGAUGAGCGCUAGGUGUUGGGGACUUUCCGGUCCUCAGUGCCGCAGCAAACGCAUUAAGCGCUCCGCCUGGGGAGUGCGACCGCAAGGUUGAAAC
rnacentral:rRNA from 1 species